rnacentral:rRNA from 1 species
UACGAAGGGGGCUAGCGUUGCUCGGAAUUACUGGGCGUAAAGGGCGCGUAGGCGGCACUGUUAGUCAGGCGUGAAAGUCCUGGGCUCAACCUGGGAACUGCGCUUGAUACGGCAGAGCUAGAGGAUGGAAGAGGGUCGCGGAAUUCCCAGUGUAGAGGUGAAAUUCGUAGAUAUUGGGAAGAACACCGGUGGCGAAGGCGGCCAUCUGGACCGCAACUGACGCUGAGGCGCGAAAGCGUGGGGAGCGAACAGG